rnacentral:rRNA from 1 species
CACGUAGGGCGCAAGCGUUGUCCGGAAUUAUUGGGCGUAAAGAGCUCGUAGGCGGUCUGUCGCGUCUGCUGUGAAAAUCCAGGGCUCAACCCUGGACCUGCAGUGGGUACGGGCAGACUAGAGUGCGGUAGGGGAGAUCGGAAUUCCUGGUGUAGCGGUGAAAUGCGCAGAUAUCAGGAGGAACACCGGUGGCGAAGGCGGAUCUCUGGGCCGUAACUGACGCUGAGGAGCGAAAGCGUGGGGAGCGAACAGG